rnacentral:rRNA from 1 species
GUGGGGAAUCUUGCGCAAUGGGCGAAAGCCUGACGCAGCCAUGCCGCGUGAAUGAUGAAGGUCUUAGGAUUGUAAAAUUCUUUCACCGGGGACGAUAAUGACGGUACCCGGAGAAGAAGCUCCGGCUAACUUCGUGCCAGCAGCCGCGGUAAUACGAAGGGGGCUAGCGUUGCUCGGCAUUACUGGGCGUAAAGGGCGCGUAGGCGGACAGCUUAGUCAGAGGUGAAAGCCCAGGGCUCAACCUUGGAAUUGCCUUUGAUACUGGCUUUCUUGAGUUUGGGAGAGGUGAGUGGAACUCCGAGUGUAGAGGUGAAAUUCGUAGAUAUAGGAAGGAACACCAGUGGCGAAGGCGACUACCUGGACUGAUACUUACACUGAGGUGCGAAAGCGUGGGGAGCAAACAGGAUUAGAUACCCUUUAGUCC